rnacentral:tRNA from 1 species
GAUGGUAGCUCAAAGGAAGAGCACUUGGCUUACAUGCAAGAUGUUGGUGAUUCGAUUCCUCCGAGCCAUUA